rnacentral:rRNA from 1 species
UACGUAGGGGGCAAGCGUUGUCCGGAAUUAUUGGGCGUAAAGAGCGUGUAGGCGGCCAGAUAAGUCCGCUGUGAAAUCUCGAGGCUCAACUUCGAGCUGUCGGUGGAAACUGUCUGGCUAGAGUCCGGAAGAGGAGAAUGGAAUUCCUGGUGUAGCGGUGAAAUGCGCAGAUAUCAGGAAGAACACCCGUGGCGAAGGCGGUUCUCUGGGACGGUACUGACGCUGAGACGCGAAAGCGUGGGGGAGCGAACAGG